rnacentral:rRNA from 1 species
AGAGUUUGAUCCUGGCUCAGAACGAACGCUGGCGGCAUGCCUAACACAUGCAAGUCGAACGAUGCUUUCGGGCAUAGUGGCGCACGGGUGCGUAACGCGUGGGAAUCUGCCCUUAGGUUCGGAAUAACAGUUAGAGAUGACUGCUAAUACCGGAUGAUGUCGAUAAGACCAAAGAUUUAUCGCCUGAGGAUGAGCCCGCGUAGGAUUAGCUAAUUGGUGUGGUAAAGGCGCACCAAGGCGACGAUCCUUAGCUGGUCUGAGAGGAUGAUCAGCCACACUGGGACUGAGACACGGCCCAGACUCCUACGGGAGGCAGCAGUGGGGAAUAUUGGACAAUGGGCGCAAGCCUGAUCCAGCAAUGCCGCGUGAGUGAUGAAGGCCUUAGGGUUGUAAAGCUCUUUUACCCGGGAUGAUAAUGUCAGUACCGGGAGAAUAAGCCCCGGCUAACUCCGUGCCAGCAGCCGCGGUAAUACGGAGGGGGCUAGCGUUGUUCGGAAUUACUGGGCGUAAAGCGCACGUAGGCGGCUUUGUAAGUUAGAGGUGAAAGCCUGGAGCUCAACUCCAGAACUGCCUUUAAGACUGCAUCGCUUGAAUCCAGGAGAGGUGAGUGGAAUUCCGAGUGUAGAGGUGAAAUUCGUAGAUAUUCGGAAGAACACCAGAGGCGAAGGCGGCUCACUGGACUGGUAUUGACGCUGAGGUGCGAAAGCGUGGGGGAGCAAACAGGAUUAGAUACCCUGGUAGUCCACGCCGUAAACGAUGAUAACUAGCUGUCCGG